UGGAAUUUGAUUCUGCAAACUACUCUCAAAAAUAAGAUGAUUUCUGGUCAUUGCUCAAAGUAUUGGAACAUGCUGUCAGUGGAAUCCUGAUAAAUGCUCUUGAAGAUGUCACAGCAAAGCUCAGCCUUAAUGCGAAACACAUGCGGAUCAGAAGGCAACAGAUUAUCAACAACAAACUCCAGGGACUCGAGGACUGGGGAGUCAUUGAGAGUCUUAACCUUUCACACAUAAAAACUGCUUUCACAUGACACUCAAUAAGGCUGCCUUUGGA